UUGAAGCCCACAUAGAUUGGAAUACAAAUGUGCCGAGAUAAGGUAUUCUUGCUCAUGAACCAUAGGAUCUUUUCUGAAUCUCGGAAUUUUGGUGGCGCACCCUGCAGCAGCAUGAUUGUUGUUAUGGCUGUUUUCGCUUUGGUUUAGAAGGAAACCCAGCUAAGAAAUAGAGUUUCAGAGACAUAUGAAGAGUGUGAAGUGAAUAACCUGCCAUGUGUAUGUACAUGUAUCAGAUCUGCUUGAUGAAAGUCAAAUGCCUUACUAAAUUCAUCACCCAUAUGAUAAGCAUCAGGAAAUUUCUCUCAACAUAUGGAGUAAUGCUGUUGGUUGCUAU